rnacentral:rRNA from 1 species
GGGUGCCCCGCGAGGGAGCCCUAGCACAGGUGCUGCAUGGCCGUCGUCAGCUCGUGCCGUGAGGUGUGGGUUAAGUCCCGCAACGAGCGCAACCCCCGCCGUUAGUUGCCAGCGGUUCGGCCGGGCACUCUAACGGGACUGCCCGCGAAAGCGGGAGGAAGGAGGGGACGACGUCUGGUCAGCAUGGCCCUUACGGCCUGGGCGACACACGUGCUACAAUGCCCACUACAAAGCGAGGCCACCCGGCAACGGGGAGCUAAUCGCAAAAAGGUGGGCCCAGUUCGGAUUGGGGUCUGCAACCCGACCCCAUGAAGCCGGAAUCGCUAGUAAUCGCGGAUCAGCCAUGCCGCGGUCGAAUACGUUCCCGGGCCUU